CUCCCCUCGGCGGCCUCUCGGACAGCCCUAGCAACACUUAGCGACAACUAACCCGGGGCUUCUACACACCUUGGUCCUUCCAGCCCCUUUGCAGUCUUGAGAUCUACGAGCCGGAAGUGCCUGUGGAUAUAAUCUAGAUGUGGGGUGGCGAGGAAUGACAUUUGAGCUGCGAGAGGAAGCUGCAGACCAAAUAACAUCCACCUGUGAGUUCAGUUUGGCUGAAUGAGUUGCCAGUUUGCGACCUCAGAAUAGAAAAAAGGAAGAAGCGCCAGGAUCACUCCAAUAAUUAGAUGUCAGAGGAGUAGAAUCCAGCCAGCAAAGAAUGCUGAGAAGGAGCCACCAAAGAAAAUCGGAAGUAUGUGAUAUUCCUGAAGACCAAAGAAGAAAGUGGCAGGAAGAAGAGAAUGCCAGCAUUUCCUGAGGAGUCAUCGAACACCUUCAUCGGAGUUGCC